rnacentral:rRNA from 1 species
CUACGGGUGGCUCCAGUGAGGAAUAUUGGUCAAUGGGCGCAAGCCUGAACCAGCCAUGCCGCGUGGAGGAAGACGGCCCUAUGGGUUGUAAACUCCUUUUUUACGGGAAUAAAAGUUUCUACGUGUAGAGAUCUGAAGGUACCGUACGAAUAAGCAUCGGCUAACUCCGUGCCAGCAGCCGCGGUAAUACGGAGGAUGCAGGCGUUAUCCGGAUUUAUUAGGUUUAAAGGGUGCGCAGGCGGCCUAUUAAGUCAGUGGUGAAAGUUUGCAGCUUAACUGUAAAAUUGCCAUUGAUACUGGUAGGCUUGAAUAUGGUAGAGGUAGGCGGAAUGUGUAGUGUAGCGGUGAAAUGCUUAGAUAUUACACAGAACACCGAUUGCGAAGGCAGCUUACUAUGCCAUGAUUGACGCUGAGGCACGAAAGCGUGGGUAGCGAACAGGAUUAGAUACCCUUGUAGUC